AACGAACGCUGGCGGCAUGCCUAACACAUGCAAGUCGAACGAGACCUUCGGGUCUAGUGGCGCACGGGUGCGUAACGUGUGGGAACAUGCUCUUAGGUUCGGAAUAACUCCCCGAAAGGGGUGCUAAUACCGGAUAAUGUCUUCGGACAAAAUAUUGAUCGCAUUUGGAUGGGCCCGCGUUGGAUUAGCUAGUUGGUAUGGUAACAGCCUACCAAGGCGACGAUCCAUAGCUGGUCUGAGAGGAUGAUCAGCCACACUGGGACUGAGACACGGCCCAGACUCCUACGGGAGGCAGCAGUGGGGAAUAUUGGACAAUGGGCGAAAGCCUGAUCCAGCAAUGCCGCGUGAGUUAUGAAGGCCUUAGGGUUGUAAAGCUCUUUUACCCGAGAUGAUAAUGACAGUACCGGGAGAAUAAGCUCCGGCUAACUCCGUG
rnacentral:rRNA from 1 species